CCCGUCAGAGGGUACAGUACGUAAAACGCGGAAGAAUAUCGGUGCCGCAAAGCUUUUCUCUUCAAUUAUUUUUACUUUCACGCUUUCCCAUGCCUAAAACGAAGUAAACAAAGAAAUGUACGCAUAAAGCCAAAAGAAAAGGAAUCACCGAUAAAAAGAGGCCGAGCAGCAGAAAGACAGCCAAAAGGCCGUGCGCCGGUGGGCGUCCAGUAGAGGGAGUGGAAGGAAAUCGGCCGAGCCCCCGCCCUUAAUUUGCCGGGAGAGAUGGAAGGGUCCCGGGUUUCUCUUUGGGUGCUGCUGCUCCUCCUCUCCCAGUACGCUUCAGCCGUAGUAGAAGACGGUGAGUCUCUCUCUCUCCUUCCCCCUUCUUGAAAUCUUGAUUGACUUUGUCUCUCUUUUUUGGUACCCUUCGUUCAUUGAUACAAUGUUGGGUUUAGCGCUGAUUUGGUUGACGGGUAUUGCAUAUAUUUUAACACUUUAACUUAUAAAUAGAAGUAGAGUGUGGUAUUCUUUUUCACAGAUCAGGAUUCAGUGGAAGUGUUUUUAGGCUUAAUUCGAGAUUUCAUUUGAUUUGUUGUUCUCAGAAAAAAACUUAUGGUUGUUUGAAAUAAUUCCUUCUGCCUUCACUUACAUUUUGGAGGAAGAGGGAGACAUGCAUAUGGGCCCUCCUUACCAUAUUUUCUUUGAAGACGGGGCUGUUUUGAGUUCUUGCUCUCUUGAGAGAUUAGUUUCCAUUUUGUGUCGAAUAUUUGAAGUUGUUUUUAUAGCGUUACAUAUACGCGGAUGAGCUUCAUUGAUAUUUGCUUGUAUGCAUUCAAGAUGGUUGCCUUUUGGUGCUGGACAAAACAACAUGACUCUGAAACCCUUUUAGGGUGGUUCAUCUUUACAGAAACUUA
rnacentral:lncRNA from 1 species